rnacentral:rRNA from 1 species
GCCUCAGUAACGGCGAGUGAAGCGGCAAGAGCUCAAAUUUGAAAUCUGGCCCCUCCGGGGUCCGAGUUGUAAUUUGCAGAGGAUGCUUCGGGUGCGGCCCCUGUCUAAGUGCCCUGGAACGGGCCGUCAGAGAGGGUGAGAAUCCCGUCUUGGGCAGGGUGCCCGUGCCCGUGUGAAGCUCCUUCGACGAGUCGAGUUGUUUGGGAAUGCAGCUCAAAAUGGGUGGUAAAUUUCAUCUAAAGCUAAAUACCGGCCGGAGACCGAUAGCGCACAAGUAGAGUGAUCGAAAGAUGAAAAGCACUUUGAAAAGAGAGUUAAACAGCACGUGAAAUUGUUGAAAGGGAAGCGCUUGCAACCAGACUCGGCCUCGGGGUUCAGCCAGCAUUCGUGCUGGUGUACUUCCCCGGGGCCGGGCCAGCGUCGGUUUGGGCGGCCGGUCAAAGGCCCCAGGAAUGUAUCGUCCUCCGGGACGUCUUAUAGCCUGGGGUGCAAUGCGGCCAGCCUGGACCGAGGAACGCGCUUCGGCACGGACGCUGGCGUAAUGGUCGCAAACGACCCGUCUUGAAACACGGACCAAGGAGUCUAACAUCUACGCGAGUGUUCGGGUGUCAAACCCGUACGCGCAGUGAAAGCGAACGGAGGUGGGAGCCCCCCCGGGGCGCACCAUCGACCGAUCCUGAUGUCUUCGGAUGGAUUUGAGUACGAGCGUAGCUGUGGGGACCCGAAAGAUGGUGAACUAUGCCUGAAUAGGGUGAAGCCAGAGGAAACUCUGGUGGAGGCUCGCAGCGGUUCUGACGUGCAAAUCGAUCGUCAAAUUUGGGUAUAGGGGCGAAA